UCCUCGCGCUCACAGCCAGCCCGCUUUACAAGCGUGCGCAUGUGUUAGGCAUCGCCACUUGGGCAGACGGCGCUCAGCCUUGAACGUGCGUUAACGAGUGCGCGGGAGUAAAAGAACUUUCCUCGGGAAACUACGCCAGAAUCGACCACGGAAGCAGAAACGCUUCGUCGCGAGUUUCGUGUCCGCGUGGAAGCGGAUGGAUGAAUACGCAGCGGAGGAAUUACAGCGGACUCGACCGUUUCGCGUGCAGUUCCAUACACAGUAAACAGCACUGAAAACCGUGCGGAUUUGGGAUCCGUGUCCAGCGUCUGCAGCGAAUCUCGAAACAAAGGCGAAGAGAGUUUUGGCGGCAGGGAUUGUUAUAUUUUUGUUAGCCUAUGCAAGGAGCAGCUCGGCUCGCCUGUCACCAUCAUCUUCAUCAUCAUCAUCAUCAUCAUCACCAUCAUCAGUGCAACGUUCUUCUCCCCAGUAUCCCAUUUGCGUCAUGACUUCUAGCUAUGCCCAUGUAAUGGACAGACGAGCAGCGAUACCCAGCAGACUGGACAGUCCCAUUACAGCCAACCUGGAAAACCUGCAGGCCAAGAAGAACUUCUCGGUCAGCCACCUGCUGGAUCUGGAGGAAGCGGGGGAAAUGGUCAGCGCUCAGGCGGACGAGAGCGUGGGCGAAACUGGCAGAACGAUGCUCGAGUCCCCGGGCUUAACCAGCGGCAGCGAUACCACGCAGCACGAGAAUGAACAGCUCAACUCCGAGGAGAAGAAGAAGCGUAAACAGCGGCGAAACAGGACCACGUUCAACAGCGGGCAGCUGCAGGCGCUGGAAAGGGUCUUUGAGCGCACGCACUACCCCGACGCUUUUGUGCGCGAAGACCUGGCGCGCAGGGUCAACCUGACUGAGGCCAGGGUGCAGGUGUGGUUUCAGAACCGCCGGGCGAAGUUCCGCCGCAACGAGCGGGCUUUGCUGGCCAGUAAGAACGCGUCUCUGCUCAAAUCCUACUCGGGGGACGUGACAGCGGUGGAGCAGCCCAUCGUCCCGCGGCCCGCCCCCCGCCCUAACGACUACCUAUCCUGGGGUAGCGCCACCCCUUACAGCUGGUUCCCAAGUGCGGAGGGAGGGCCAGUACGCGUGCCACAGAAAAUGUUGCCCACAGAAACGCAAUGGCCGCCUACCCACCCACUUGUUCCAACACCACUUCCACCCAGGGAAUGAACAUGGCCAACAGCAUCGCCAACCUCAGACUGAAAGCCAAGGAGUACAACCUGAACCAGGAAAUGAAUCUGCUCAUAUAUCAGAACUGAUAUGGAGUCAUCACAGCAGACACGAUGUCUGGACGGUGUAAAUACUUUCUGUUCUUUUCAACUGGCUGAACGCUAUUACGCUCCUCAAAGAAACUACCGGAAGACUGUAGUUUGCUGUAAUUCGAAGUCUGAAAGUUACAUAAGACCCGAACCAAAAGACACCGAGGCAAAGUUCUUGUUCGUUGGAUGCCCGUCAGGUCUGCUGGACAGCAGCGAAGCCCCGUUCAUGGACCUAAACUAACGAGGGACGUCAGAAAAGAACUGCAGGGGUGGCAGUGUCUCUAGAAGUCUAUUUUAUUCUCAUCACUUUAACACUGACUAGUUGCCAUGCCACCCCAUGGCGGUAUGAGUGCACCACGUACUAACACAAAUGUAACUCAUUUUUGGAGAGCGACUUAUAGUUUCCUUUUUUCUGUAUGACAUUUUACGAUUGCAAAGCAUAUGGGAAUAAAAUCACGUCAAGCA